AUUGAACGCUGGCGGCAGGCCUAACACAUGCAAGUCGAGCGGAUGAAGGGAGCUUGCUCCUGGAUUCAGCGGCGGACGGGUGAGUAAUGCCUAGGAAUCUGCCUGGUAGUGGGGGAUAACGUCCGGAAACGGGCGCUAAUACCGCAUACGUCCUGAGGGAGAAAGUGGGGGAUCUUCGGACCUCACGCUAUCAGAUGAGCCUAGGUCGGAUUAGCUAGUUGGUGGGGUAAAGGCCUACCAAGGCGACGACCCGUAACUGGUCUGAGAGGAUGAUCAGUCACACUGGAACUGAGACACGGUCCAGACUCCUACGGGAGGCAGCAGUGGGGAAUAUUGGACAAUGGGCGAAAGCCUGAUCCAGCCAUGCCGCGUGUGUGAAGAAGGUCUUCGGAUUGUAAAGCACUUUAAGUUGGGAGGAAGUGCAGUAAGUUAAUACCUUGCUGUUUUGACGUUACCAACAGAAUAAGCACCGGCUAACUUCGUG
rnacentral:rRNA from 1 species